CUACGGGUCGCACCAGUGAGGAAUAUUGCACAAUGGAGGAAACUCUGAUGCAGCAACGCCGCGUGGAGGAUGACGCAUUUCGGUGUGUAAACUCCUUUUAUAUGUCAAGAAAAUGACGGUAGCAUAUGAAUAAGCACCGGCUAACUCCGUGCCAGCAGCCGCGGUAAUACGGAGGGUGCAAGCGUUACUCGGAAUCACUGGGCGUAAAGGACGCGUAGGCGGGAUAUCAAGUCAGGUGUGAAAUCCUACAGCUUAACUGUAGAACUGCACUUGAAACUGGUAACCUAGAGUAUGGGAGGGGGAGAUGGAAUUAGUGGUGUAGGGGUAAAGUCCGUAGAUAUCACUAGGAAUACCUAAAGCGAAGGCGAUCUCCUGGAACAUAACUGACGCUAAGGCGUGAAAGCGUGGGGAGCAAACAGGAUUAGAUACCCGUGUAGUC
rnacentral:rRNA from 1 species